rnacentral:rRNA from 1 species
GACGUAGGGCGCGAGCGUUGUCCGGAUUUAUUGGGCGUAAAGAGCUCGUAGGCGGCUUGUCGCGUCGUCCGUGAAAACCUGCAGCUCAACUGCAGGCUUGCGGUCGAUACGGGCAGGCGUAGAGUUCGGUAGGGGACUGGAAUUCCUGGGUGUGAGACGGUGAAAUGCGCAGAUAUCAGGAGGAACACCGGUGGCGAAGGCGGGUCUCUGGGCCGAUGACUGACGCUGAGGAGCGAAAGCAUGGGUAGCGAACAGG